GGUUAAGCGACUAAGCGUACACGGUGGAUGCCCUGGCAGUCAGAGGCGAUGAAGGACGUGCUAAUCUGCGAUAAGCGUCGGUGAGGUGAUAUGAACCGUUAUAACCGGCGAUUUCCGAAUGGGGAAACCCAGUGUGAUUCGUCACACUAUCAUUAACUGAAUCCAUAGGUUAAUGAGGCGAACCGGGGGAACUGAAACAUCUAAGUACCCCGAGGAAAAGAAAUCAACCGAGAUUCCCCCAGUAGCGGCGAGCGAACGGGGAGGAGCCCAGAGCCUGAAUCAG
rnacentral:rRNA from 1 species